rnacentral:rRNA from 1 species
UGCGUAGGGGGCAAGCGUUAUCCGGAUUUACUGGGUGUAAAGGGAGCGUAGACGGCCAUUCAAGCCAGAUGUGAAAGCCCGGGGCUUAACCCCGGGACUGCAUUUGGAACUGUAUGGCUGGAGUGUCGGAGAGGCAGGCGGAAUUCCUAGUGUAGCGGUGAAAUGCGUAGAUAUUAGGAGGAACACCAGUGGCGAAGGCGGCCUGCUGGACGAUGACUGACGUUGAGGCUCGAAAGCGUGGGGAGCAAACAGG